AACGAACGCUGGCGGCAGGCCUAACACAUGCAAGUCGAACGCCCGUAGCAAUACGGGAGUGGCAGACGGGUGAGUAACGCGUGGGAACGUGCCCUUCGGUUCGGAAUAACUCAGGGAAACUUGAGCUAAUACCGGAUACGUCCGUAAGGAGAAAGAUUUAUCGCCGAAGGAUCGGCCCGCGUCGGAUUAGCUAGUUGGUGAGGUAACGGCCCACCAAGGCGACGAUCCGUAGCUGGUCUGAGAGGANGAUCAGCCACACUGGGACUGAGACACGGCCCAGACUCCUACGGGAGGCAGCAGUGGGGAAUAUUGGACAAUGGGCGAAAGCCUGAUCCAGCCAUGCCGCGUGAGUGAAGAAGGCCUUAGGGUUGUAAAGCUCUUUCAGCGGGAAGAUAAUGACGGUACCCGCAGAAGAAGCCCCGGCUAACUUCGUGCCAGCCGCCGCCGUAAC
rnacentral:rRNA from 1 species